rnacentral:rRNA from 1 species
GACGAACGCUGGCGGCGUGCCUAAUACAUGCAAGUCGAACGCAUUUUCUUUCACCGUAGCUUGCUACACCGAAAGAAAAUGAGUGGCGAACGGGUGAGUAACACGUGGGUAACCUGCCCAUCAGCGGGGGAUAACACUUGGAAACAGGUGCUAAUACCGCAUAAUUCCAUUUACCGCAUGGUAGAUGGGUGAAAGGCGCUUUUGCGUCACUGAUGGAUGGACCCGCGGUGCAUUAGCUAGUUGGUGGGGUACCGGCCUACCAAGGCUGCGAUGCAUAGCCGACCUGAGAGGGUGAUCGGCCACACUGGGACGGAGACACGGCCCAGACUUCUACGGGGGGCAGCAGUAGGGAAUCUUCGGCAAUGGACGCAAGUCUGACCGAGCAACGCCGCGGGAGUGAAGAAGGUUGUCGGAUCGUAAAACUCUGUUGUUAGAGAAGAACAAGGAUGAGAGUGGAAAGUUCAUCCCUUGACGGUAUCUAACCAGAAAGCCACGGCUAACUACGUG